CAACAGCAUUGCAUUGUUUAUCUUAAGCUCGGUUCAGGCAACGCUGUGUUAGAGGGAGAAGCUAAGCCUGAAUUCUCAUGUUCUUGGUUCAAACUCAAGCUUUGGUUUUGGAUUUUAAUAUCCUGGAAGCUUUCCAUGUUCCUGUUCCAGUUUUAGUAGUUAUACCUUCUUGCUUGUAAUAAUCCAAAUGAAUUAUUUUCGAUUGACCCAUGCUUUUAUCUUGUUUCCUUUUCUCAAAGUUACCUCCCUUGGUUUGAAGUCUUCUAUAAACUGCUCAACAUCUUGGCAGACUAUACGGCCAAAUCCCAGGACAGCCAGUGGUAUGAACUUCUCGACACUCUCUACAAACUGCCCAUCCCUCAGCCUGGCUCUUCUGUUCAUCUCAGCGUGGUAAGUGGGGCGCCCCAUAUCCAGAUUUUCUAGGCUCGCCUCCAUUGAACUCGGCGGGAUUUAUUUCCGAGUGGGAUCGCGUUGGAUUAAGCUGCCAAUUGAACGGAAAGCGUGAAGUUGAUGGCAGCCGAGCGCAGUAAAUUUUAACUG
rnacentral:lncRNA from 11 species